GUGAGGAGUGCCCUUAAGUGGGACAACGAGCGCAACCCCUGUCUCCUGUUACAAGUGUCAGGAGAAACUGCUUCGAUAAUCAUCGGGGAGGAAGGAGGGGCAGACGUCAAGUCAUCAUGUCGCUUAUACCUUGGGCUGCACACAUGUUACAAUGAAAAGUACAAUGGGUUUAGCAACUUCGUAAGGAGAAGCAAAUCUCAUAAAACUUUUCUCAGUGGGGAUUGAGGUCUGAAAUUCGACCUCAUGAACGCGGAAUUCGUAGUAAUCGCAGGUCAGCUACACUGCGGUGAAUACGUUCUUGGGUCUUGCACUCACCGCCCGUCAAGCCACCAAAGUCGGAAGUACCUGAAAAUCCUUUCGGGGAGCUAGGGUAAGUUCGGCGAUGGGGACUAAGUCGUAACAAGGUAGCCGUUCUGGAAGGAGCGGCUGGAUCAUCUCCUUUCU
rnacentral:rRNA from 1 species